AGAAGAAGCUCUCUGUGAUGGACGUCACCGGCGUGCGGCACGACGCCCUGAACCUCUCCAUCAUGGCUGGGCAAGAAGCAGCACGGCGGUGCGACGCACUGCAGAGCAGAAGGGCCGCGAGGUCCGCGGCACGGGCUGGGUGGAGAGCAGAAGCUGCGCGCUGCAGCGAGUGCCGCGAGGUUCUGGGUUGAGAGCAGAAGCUACGCACUGCGAAGAGCGUGCCGAGGUGGCGGCGCGGGAUGGGGGGCGAUCGGUGGCGAUGCACUGGAGGAGGGCGAGGACUGCGGAGGCCGCACACUGCGCGGAGGGCGCCGACGGCGCUUCAGAGGAGGGCGGCGGAUCGGGAUCGACUGGGAAGGAGAAGAUCGGGAGUAUAUUUUUCUUUUUUCUUUUAAUGGGAAAAGUAUCGUGCCCUUCCUCGUUACUCCAUCUAGACACUGUGGAGUAUCAGGUACUGAAGAAAACGUCAUAUACAUAACCACGUCAUUGGUCGCAUCCAGAUUGCUCAAGAUCAAAACUCAGAGUCACGUGGCUUGAGAUCGGAACUUGAAAACAAAUCAUCGUAAGCACCUCGUUAUGAAUAAAUAUUAAUUGC
rnacentral:lncRNA from 1 species